UCCAGACUCCUACGGGAGGCAGCAGUGGGGGAUAUUGCACAAUGGGGGAAACCCUGAUGCAGCGACGCCGCGUGGGUGAAGAAGUAUUUCGGUAUGUAAAGCCCUCUCAGCAGGGAAGAAAGAAGACGGUACCUGACUAAGAAGCCCCGGCUAACUACGUGCCAGCAGCCGCGGUAAUACGUAGGGGGCGAGCGUUAUCCGGAUUCACUGGGUGUAAAGGGAGCGUAGACGGCCGUGCAAGCCAGGAGUGAAAGCCCGGGGCCCAACCCCGGGACUGCUCUUGGAACUGUGCGGCUGGAGUGCGGGAGGGGCAGGCGGAAUUCCUGGUGUAGCGGUGAAAUGCGUAGAUAUCAGGAGGAACACCGGCGGCGAAGGCGGCCUGCUGGACCGCGACUGACGUUGAGGCUCGAAAGCGUGGGGAGCGAACAGGAUUAGAUACCCGAGUAU
rnacentral:rRNA from 1 species